rnacentral:rRNA from 1 species
CCCUUAGAUGUUCUGGGCCGCACGCGCGCUACACUGACGAAUGCAACGAGCUUAUAACCUUGGCCGAAAGGUCUGGGUAAUCUCCAAAUUUCGUCGUGAUGGGGAUAGAUUAUUGCAAUUAUUAAUCUUCAACGAGGAAUGCCUAGUAAGCGCAAGUCAUCAGCUUGCGUUGAUUACGUCCCUGCCCUUUGUACACACCGCCCGUCGCUCCUACCGAUUGAAUGGUCCGGUGAAGCGUUCGGACCGUCGGCUUUCUCGGUUUACCGGGUUAGCAGUACGGAAAGUCCAGUGAACCUUUUUGCUUAGAGGAAGGAGAAGUCGUAACA